rnacentral:lncRNA from 1 species
AAAAGUGUUGCUCUCUUUCCCCUCGGCUCCUGCUCCAGUGGCACAAUGUUAUUCACCAGCAAGGAGGGACGCCAAUAAGGUGCUGCAAAGAAUGCCACAGAGCAGCUGAAAGACUCCAGUAUGAUGAGAAAACUGUCCAAGACACAGUCAGCCAUGGACUUCUCUCUUGGAGGUAGCAACAACAUUGCUUAUGACCACAUCACUGAAGCCUCUGCCUCCAUCAUCAUGUAGCCCUCUUCUCUUCUGUCUCUCACUGUGUGAGGGUUAGUGUUGAUUGACACCUUGAGGGAAUUCAGAACCACCUUGGAAUACCUGUGAGAACCACCUGGGUGCACCUGUGAGAAUCGCCUGACAUACGUGUGAGAAUUACCUGGGUGUACCUGUAAAAAAACACUGGAUGCACCUGUGAGAACCAUCUAGACACAUGAUAAUUCUCUGGAUAGCCUGCAGGACCACUCCUGUAAACCCUCCCCACAGUUACUGUUGCCUUCUGUCCUAG